CUAGGGCUCCUGGUGUUUCUGAGGAAAGAUGGGCAUUGACUUACAAUUAACAGGGGUUGUCAGCACUCUACGCACCCAAGCUAAGUGCAAACUCGCGCCUUUGAUAGUAGCUGAGAUCUUCCGUGCUCUCACAACUUGCAAGGCCGGGAAAGAUUUCUUUGAGGGGUGCAAUUUGUUGUUGCAAAUGUGGAUAACCGAACAUCUAUGCCACCGUCCUGAGUUUAUGAGCGAUGGUUCAGCGGAGAAAACUUGUAUAACGG
rnacentral:lncRNA from 1 species